CUGGAUGUUGACUAGCUGUGAAUCUCCGUGUUAAUUACUGACUACCAGAAUAUGUUUCUGCGAUAAGGGUUCAAAGAUGUGCUAAUCUAUGCUAUUAGGAAUCAUUUUAAUACUAUGUCUUGUUAGCAGAACAGUGGUAGGUUCUCCCCUAGGGCCUAUGACCUUUGUAACUAUAGGAUCUUCACAUUUUUAUAAUUCGCCAUUUUUACAUCUGCUUUGCCAUAGGAAAAAAUAAUCAUGUUAGUACAUAUGAAAAAUGGCAACAGUGUGUGACGUUUCCUGUACACGUGUGUGUGUUGUGUGUGUGUGUGUGUGUGUGUGUGUGUGUGUGUGUGUAAAACUGUGGGCUUUCCCAUCCAUGCAUAAGUUUCCCCGAAAUGAUUCUGAGACUUAAGUAUAGUUGUGAAUAAAUGCCUAGGCCUUCAGCUUGGGCCAGUUCUCUCUCUAACUAGCUCAUAACUUAGUUAUCGGUUUAUUCUAUUCUAAGUCCUGCCACGUGCAUGGCAGGUUAAAUGAUCCUCAGUUUCACAUAACCUUUUUCCCCUGUGUCCCCGUGAAUCUCCCAGCAUUCCUCACUCCCGGAAGUCCCACCUUCUAAUCCUACCUCAGCUCUCCGGCCAACCAGCUUUGAUUAACAGGGGAAAGCUUUUACACAGUGCACAAGGGAUUAUCUCUACCUGCACAAUAACUGACUAGACAGGAGCUCUACUUCUCAACUAUCUCCCUGGCUCUUUCGGGCACUGCUUUAAUUUUCUUGCUGUUUCUCCUUUAGAAGAAGACUGACUCAGAUUAAGAACACCGGAUGAAGUGAUGAUGAUGAUGACGACGACGACGACGACGAUGAUGAUGUUAGAAGACAUAUUAAUUAAGAAUACAGAGCACUCUUCCAGAGGACUAAGCUUCAUGAUGAUCCUGAGACUUGUCCUGCUGCUGCUGUAGCAUCCAGAGAAGCGGAGAGCCAAACUCCCACCAUGCUGCUGGGCCUGGCAGAGCAGGGGCUGGAUAUUUUUUACUUUCGACAAUUCCAAACACUUAUCACUCAGAUAAGUUUAAGUUAAAUUGCAACCUGUCAGAGGAUGGGACUCCUGGAGUGGACCACAGGGACUGCGAAGGAGCUGUGUGUGACUUUGUACAUUAGGGGUUCUAUCUGCAUUGUUGGGGGUGGAGUGUGUUUGUAUUGAAGGAAUUCUGUUCUCAGCACAUCAACGUCCUGACAGAAUGUACUCAGUAUUCAAAUAAAAUGCAUCGUAUUCUAAGUCACUUCUGUGUCUGUGUCUUU
rnacentral:sRNA from 1 species